AUUGAACGCUGGCGGCAGGCCUAACAUAUGCAAGUCGAACGGUAACAGGAAGAAGCUUGCUUCUUUGCUGACGCGUGGCGGACGGGUGAGUAAUGUCUGGGAAACUGCCUGAUGGAGGGGGAUAACUACUGGAAACGGUAGCUAAUACCGCAUAACGUCGCAAGACCAAAGAGGGGGACCUUCGGGCCUCUUGCCAUCGGAUGUGCCCAGAUGGGAUUAGCUAGUAGGUGGGGUAACGGCUCACCUAGGCGACGAUCCCUAGCUGGUCUGAGAGGAUGACCAGCCACACUGGAACUGAGACACGGUCCAGACUCCUACGGGAGGCAGCAGUGGGGAAUAUUGCGCAAUGGGCGCAAGCCUGAUGCAGCCAUGCCGCGUGUAUGAAGAAGGCCUUCGGGUUGUAAAGUACUUUCAGCGGGGAGGAAGGGAGUAAAGUUAAUACCUGUGCUCAUUGACGUUACCCGCAGAAGAAGCACCGGCUAACUCCGUG
rnacentral:rRNA from 1 species